AUCUGCUGCCCCAACCACCAUUCCCUCAGCGACCUUAUCUCCUUCACACCUUCUCCAUCUCGUCCACCAAUUUUAGACUGUUAUCUGCUGCCCCGACCACCAUUCCCCCAGCCGCCUUAUCUCUUCCACACCUUCUCUAUCUCGUUCACUCGUUUUAUUACUGCCAGCGCCCUUAAGCCAGGAAUUGCACCUUUAUUGUGCCUUCACCUCUUGCUUACUCACCUCUUGCACAUUGCCUUAUCACCACUUGCCACCACCAAGCAUAUUGCCUCCACCUCCUCCUCUCUUCACCUCCAAUCUGUCUACAGUGCUCCUUGAACAAUUCCACUGCCGUCCUUCAUUAAAGAGAAUCCAGGUGCAACAAUAGGAUGAGAUUUUGUUCCUUUUCUCUCUCGUGCAAUUAUCCAUAUUCUGGUAAUUUGUGGAGAGAAUCUUGAUCUGUGGAAGGAACAGGACUACUAAAGAAGAUGUUAACUCAUGCGACAGUUUCAAGAUUCUCCUUAGCUUCUCUAGCAUUGCUGGUUGCCUACUAUAGGAUUACUUGUUCUGGAGAAACUUUUUAGUUCAUGAAAAGCUACUUGUAAUAUGUAAAAUAUUGUUCAUUGAUAAAGAAAUGGUCCAUGGGUCUUAACUCAUCCUCAAACGCUAUCUCAAGAGGUGAAGAUUGUCCAAAUUAUAUUAAAGAGAUCACCCAUCCCUUGAAAGGAACUGUAAAGAUAUGACACCUGGACCUAACUCAAUCCCAAAAGCUAGCUCAUGAGGGGAGGAUUUCUCAAGUGACCGUCAGUCCAUUACGCAACCAAUGUGGGACUUUUACCCACUUCACCACCCCUCUUCAUGCCCUGGGCCCAAUUGGCGCGUGGACCGGGAGACAAACGGGGAUGAACCUGGCUCUGAUACCUUGUAAAGAUAUGGCACCUGGGCCUAACUCAACCCAAAAGCUAGCUAAUAAGGGGAGGAUUGCCCAACUCCAUAUAAGGAGACCAAGUACCCAUCCUUCUUCCGAUGUGGGACUCUUAACAAUGUUGAAGUGGGUGAAAGUCCGCAUUGGUUG
rnacentral:lncRNA from 1 species